UACAGAGGGUGCGAGCGUUAAUCGGAAUUACUGGCGUAAAGCGCGCGUAGACGGUUUGUAAGUCAGAUGUGAAAUCCCUGGGCUCAACCUGGGAACUGCAUUUGAGACUGCAUGGCUAGAGUAUCGAAGAGGGAAGUGGAAUUUCCGGUGUAGCGGUGAAAUGCGUAGAUAUCGGAAGGAACACCAGUGGCGAAAGCGACUCUCUGGACGGCAACUGACGCUGAGGCACGAAAGCGUGGGGAGCAAACAGG
rnacentral:rRNA from 1 species